ACAAUGGCAGGUACANAGGGGUGCUACCGGGUGACCGGAUGCCGAUCUCGAAAACCUGUCCCAGUUCGGACUGGAGUCUGCAACCCGACUCCACGAAGUUGGAUUCGCUAGUAAUCGCGCAUCAGCCAUGGCGCGGUGAAUACGUUCCCGGGCCUUGUACACACCGCCCGUCAAGCCAUGGGAGCCGGGGGCGCCUGAAGUCCGGGACCGCGAGGACCGGCCUAAGGCGAAACUGGUGACUGGGGCUAAGUCGUAACAAGGUACC
rnacentral:rRNA from 1 species